rnacentral:rRNA from 1 species
UACAGAGGUGCCAAGCGUUAGGCGGAAUCACUGGCUUAAAGCGUGUGUAGGCGGACCUAGCAAGUAUCUUGUGAAAUCCCACGGCUCAACCGUGGAACUGCUGGAUAUACUGCUGGUCUUGAGCCACCUAGGGGCAGACGGAACAAGCGGUGGAGCGGUGAAAUGCGUAGAUAUCGCUUGGAACGCCGACGGUGAAAACAGUCUGCUGGGGUGUGCUGACGCUGAGACACGAAAGCCAGGGAGCGAACGGG